rnacentral:rRNA from 1 species
AUGCGUUUUGUGCGGCGCAUCCAGGAGUCUGAGGUGAAGGAGGCUUUAAAAAGGAUGAAAGGAGGCAAGGCGAUGGGCCCUGAUUGUAUCCCCAUUGAGGUGUGGAAAGGUCUCGGGGACAUAGCGAUAGUAUGGCUAACCAAGUUUUUCAACCUCAUUUUUCGGGCAAACAAGAUGCCAGAAGAAUGGAGACGGAGUAUAUUAGUACCAAUCUUCAAGAACAAGGGGGAUGUUCAGAGUUGUACUAAUUACCGUGGAAUUAAGCUGAUGAGCCAUACAAUGAAGCUAUGGGAGAGAGUCAUUGAGCACCGCUUAAGAAGAAUGACAAGCGUGACCAAAAAUCAGUUUGGUUUCAUGCCUGGGAGGUCGACCAUGGAAGCCAUUUUCUUGGUACGACAACUUAUGGAGAGAUAUAGGGAGCAUAAGAAGGACUUGCAUAUGGUGUUCAUUGACUUGAAGAAGGCCUAUGAUAAGAUACCGCGGAAUGUCAUGUGGUGGGCCUUGGAGAAACACAAAGUCCCAGCAAAGUACAUUACCCUCAUCAAGGACAUGUAUAAUAAUGUUGUGACAAGUGUUCGAACAAGUGAUGUCAACACCGAUGACUUCCCAUUAAGAUAG